UUCAUGGAGAGUUUGAUCCUGGCUCAGGACGAACGCUGGCGGCGUGCCUAAUACAUGCAAGUCGAGCGGACAGAUGGGAGCUUGCUCCCUGAUGUCAGCGGCGGACGGGUGAGUAACACGUGGGUAACCUGCCUGUAAGACUGGGAUAACUCCGGGAAACCGGGGCUAAUACCAGAUGCUUGAUUGAACCGCAUGGUUCAAUUAUAAAAGGUGGC
rnacentral:rRNA from 1 species